CUUACGUGUCUAUGGAGAUGUACCGAAGAUGAUUGCUUUCUUGGCAGUAUGAAAGAGCUUCAUGGGGCCCUCAGGCUCACAACUUCUUGUGAUCUAUUCAAGCUUACGUAUCUAUAAAGACUUUGAAGGAUUACUGGAAGGAUAUGAAGCUCCCCAGUCUGCAAGUGUGCUAAAACUUUUCUGGACCAAGCCAGAUAAGUGGAGAGAUGGGCCCCUUGACCCUAAUCAGAUCCUGGCUGGCUGGAACCUAACCCUGGGAGUGCUAGACUGCAGGCCCGAAGGACUGGUAUGUGAGACUCUGAAUGUUUUCGCUCAAUAGCCAGGGCUUGGGGAAGGGUGUGGACAAAUGCACAAGAAUUGUGAAAAGAGCAGGGCUGGGGUGAACUGAAGUGGUGGAUGCCAGGGCUGUACGUCAGGAUUCCCUGCAUUUAAGAAGGUUAACAAUGCUGCACUGGGCACUUCCUUACAUGAAACACUUGGAAAGCCAUACACAGUAGAUAAAGAAAACCAAAAUCUUAUUACUCUACAAUCAACCUACAUUUACUCAACACCAUCUGGGGCAGGCUGAGCGAGGCGUUGGCUUCCUGGAGGUGAAUAAUACUGAAUUUCUGCCCUUAAGGAGCUCACGUUUUCUUGAGGGAGGCAGACAUGAAUCUCAGUAUACUGUGCUAAGUGCUUUCAUAGAUGUAUAAAUCCAAGAAGCUGCACGAUGUAGAGCAAAAUAUUUUGGCUUCAUUAUUUUGCCACUUUAAUCCCGCUGAGGUAAAAUUAAAGUUCUUCUGAAAUAACCUCUAAAAGCGUUAAUUUUAUUUUUAGGUAAGGAAAUUACAAUUAAAUAUUGCAGUUAGAGAUAGUCAACAUAAAGUAAUAUUGAUAACAGCAAAUAUACAGACAUUUAAACUAUUGAUUAAAACUUGACAAAAGGUUAAAUUACCUAAAUGAGAUUUUUGUUUGCAAAAGUUAUCCAGAUUUAAAAAAAAUGGAUUUGGUAGAAAUAGCUUCAACAACAACAACAAAUCACAAUGGCAGGAAGUAUAAUUUGUAAAAUCUAAUAUAGGAAUAAAACCUGAUAAAUUUUAAAAUGUCUUUAUUGU
rnacentral:lncRNA from 1 species